AGAGAAUUAGGCUGAAGAGGCAUACGAAUUUUGAUCUCUAAAUGUAAGCUGUCACUACAAUUUGCACCUUCUGUUUUUUCUCUUCAGCUUUACAAGUAAUUUAAUGUUACAAUGCCCCUGCCUUCCUCCACAUACUCGUUCUUUUCUUUACCUCAGACAAAGGGGAAAAUAAUCCUACAAAAAAAGCCAUACAAAAAGGAGAGUUCUGUAGAAGGAGCAGAAUGGACUCUGAACUACAUGGAAUUCUGAACUGAAGGCAAAGCAGCAUUACUUUUCAGAUCUGUUUUACUUCAAAGAUUCUGUAAGUCAUUGUGCCAACCUGUGAUUUUUAUAAAAGUUUAAGGUACUUCAAAGAAAGGACAUUAGG
rnacentral:lncRNA from 1 species